rnacentral:rRNA from 1 species
GACGAACGCUGGCGGCGUGCUUAACACAUGCAAGUCGAGCGGCAAGGCCCUUUCGGGGGUACACGAGCGGCGAACGGGUGAGUAACACGUGGGUGACCUGCCCUCAGCUCUGGGAUAAGCCUGGGAAACCGGGUCUAAUACUGGAUAUGACUCCAUGACGCAUGUUGUGGGGUGGAAAGCCUUGUGCGGCUGAGGAUGGGCCCGCGGCCUAUCAGCUUGUUGGUGGGGUGAUGGCCUACCAAGGCGACGACGGGUAGCCGGCCUGAGAGGGCGACCGGCCACACUGGGACUGAGACACGGCCCAGACUCCUACGGGAGGCAGCAGUGGGGAAUCUUGCGCAAUGGGCGAAAGCCUGACGCAGCGACGCCGCGUGAGGGAUGACGGCCUCGG